UUGAAACACCUGUUCUCAUAUGAUCACAGAAGUUAAGCAGAAUUGAGCCUGGUCAGUAACUAGAUGAGUGACCACUUGAGAAUACCCAUUGC